GGCGGCGUGCCUAACACAUGCAAGUCGAGCGGAGAUAUAUGGAAGGUUUACCGGAAAUAUAUCUUAGCGGCGGACGGGUGAGUAACGCGUGGGCAACCUGCCUCAUACAGGGGGAUAACACAGGGAAACUUGUGCUAAUACCGCAUGAAAUCAUAGUAUGGCAUCAUACAAUGAUCAAAGGAGCAAUCCGGUAUAAGAUGGACCCGCGUCCAAUUAGCUAGUUGGUGGGGUAAUGGCCUACCAAGGCGACGAUGGUUAGCUGGUCUGAGAGGAUGAUCAGCCACACUGGAACUGAGACACGGUCCAGACUCCUACGGGAGGCAGCAGUGAGGAAUCUUGCGCAAUGGGGGAAACCCUGACGCAGCAACGCCGCGUGAGUGAGGAAGGUCUUCGGGUCGUAAACCGCUGUUGUGGGAGACGAAUGACUGUCGAUGAGGCAGUGGAGACGGUAUCUCACGAGGAAGCCCCGGCUAACUACGUG
rnacentral:rRNA from 1 species